rnacentral:lncRNA from 1 species
UAGGUGAAGACAAGGCUAUACAAUUCUUUUUAAUUAGUGGCUUAUGUGCUUCCUUUCACCUAACAUGCCUGGAUUGAAGCCUGCAGAUUGGAUUUUAUGUUACCAAACAAAACAUGCUUAUUAUAUGGAGAAUUUCAGAUGGUUUCAUGUUAUCAUGCACUUGUCCUUGCAAUUUGUUGUCACCUUCGGUCUACCGUUAGUUCUUAUCUGGUAGAGCAUUAUAAGCAAUAGAUAAACCUGCCUUGACCCAUUCUUUUGUCAUCUACAUGGCAUCUAAUUCUAAUUUGUUUUCAUAUAUGCAUGGCCUUGUCCUCCAAAAUGGAAGGAAACUACUGAUCAUUUGGCACAUAUUUCGAGUCUUUUUCAGAUCGCUAUCCUCCCUUGGACCCUCAA